AUCCCGUCGGUCAGUUUGUGUACGUGGUGCGAAAGAGGAUUAAGCCCAGUCCUGAAAAGGCUAUCUUCAUUUUUGUGAAGAAUAUUUUGCCUCCCACUGCGGCUAUGAUGUCAGCAAUUUAUGAGGAAAAUAGGGAUGAAGAUGGUUUCCUUUACAUGAGCUACAGUGGCGAGAACACGUUUGGAUGACUUUAAGACAUGGGCGUGCAUAAGACCUGAAAAAGAUUAUAAAAAAAUGAAAAAGAAAUAAGACUUUAGACCAGUUGUAAAUUCUCUGCAGACUCAGUGGUUUGAUAUUUUCUAUGUCAGUGAUGAUCAGUGCAGAUAAUUCUUGUAUAGUCAAGUUAUAUGGUUAUUUUGAUUACUCUGAUACUGGUAAUGGUUCUUCAAUUUUAAGAGUUCUCCUUGGUUGAUCUCAA